GGCAGGCGUGCGCGGGUAGCUCCUGGUCGUCCCUAGGGACGGCAGCCGGUAAAACGGUGGGAUCCUGGGGUCCGGAGCCUGCCAUUUU
rnacentral:sRNA from 12 species